CAUGUACCUACAGGCAUUGCAGGUGUGGCUAUUGUAUCAUAUCCAUAUUACUAAGUGAAAGAAAGGAGAGGGGUAAAGUCUACACUCAGUUUCUGACCUGUGAACAUCUGAAUGAUUAAUAGCCUGAAAAA